rnacentral:lncRNA from 1 species
UGUCAGAUGGUGAAUUGUAAGGUUGAGGGAAUAGAGAAAUCGUCAUAUUUUUCUUUGAUAGUUACAUGACUUUUUCAAUAGAGAAUAUUCAUUGUUUCAAGUAUACAUGUUGUCUAGUACAGUUUUCAGAUCUUUGUGUGUUGUAAAUUUUACAUCAUUACAUUUUUUUGUACAUUUCUGUAUUCUCUGAAAAUUUAUCAUACAAAUAUAUUUUUUUCCUAAGCUUUCUCAUCAGAAUUGUUUAUUCCCUAAAGCAUUACAAUUUAAUACAGCAAUUAAAAUAAUUUUGGGAAUUACUUC